AUACGUAGGUGGCAAGCGUUGUCCGGAAUUACUGGGUGUAAAGGGAGCGCAGGCGGGGAUGCAAGUUGGAUGUGAAAUACCGCAGCUUAACUGCGGAGCUGCAUCCAAAACUGUAUUUCUUGAGUGAAGUAGAGGUAGGCGGAAUUCCUAGUGUAGCGGUGAAAUGCGUAGAUAUUAGGAGGAACACCAGUGGCGAAGGCGGCCUACUGGGCUUUAACUGACGCUGAGGCUCGAAAGUGUGGGGAGCAAACAGGAUUAGAUACCCUGGUAGUCCACACUGUAAACGAUGAUUGCUAGGUGUGGGGGGACUGACCCCUUCCGUGCCGGAGUAAACACAAUAAGCAAUCCACCUGGGGAGUACGACCGCAAGGUUGAAACUCAAAGGAAUUGACGGGG
rnacentral:rRNA from 1 species